rnacentral:rRNA from 1 species
GACGAACGCUGGCGGCGUGCUUAACACAUGCAAGUCGAACGCUGAAGCUCAGCUUUUGUUGGGUGGAUGAGUGGCGAACGGGUGAGUAACACGUGAGUAACCUGCCUCCUUCUUUGGGAUAACGCCCGGAAACGGGUGCUAAUACUGGAUAUUCACUGGUCUUCGCAUGGGGGUUGGUGGAAAGGGUUUUUCUGGUGGGGGAUGGGCUCGCGGCCUAUCAGCUUGUUGGUGGGGUGAUGGCCUACCAAGGCUUUGACGGGUAGCCGGCCUGAGAGGGUGACCGGUCACAUUGGGACUGAGAUACGGCCCAGACUCCUACGGGAGGCAGCAGUGGGGAAUAUUGCACAAUGGGCGCAAGCCUGAUGCAGCGACGCCGCGUGAGGGAUGGAGGCCUUCGGGUUGUGAACCUCUUUCGCUCAUGGUCAAGCCGCAACAAUGGUUGUGGUGAGGGUAGUGGGUAGAGAAGCGCCGGCUAACUACGUG